UGCAUCUCACCAGAUCCCUUAGACCUGUGGCUGUUCAGCUUCACGAAGAAAUUCCAGACCUGUUCUUUGCUUGCAGGGUAAAGGACUUUGCUCCUUCGACAUCCACAGAAAGGACCAGGGACUUGAGAGAAGUGGGAAGCCUGGCUGCCAGUGAAGACUGAGGCAAAGAAGUCGCUCAUCUGGCUUGUUACCUGUGCUGCAUGAAUUGGUGUAGAGGCACUUCAGCUGGGCUAUCCACCUCCUCGUCUUCUGGGAAAAGCCCUCUCCUAAUUCUUCUGGGAUGAUUUACAGGUGUCUAUACACAUUUAUAAGACCCUCCUGAGACUUCUCUUCUUCAGGUGGAGCAGUUCCAGCUCUCCCAGCCUCUCUUUGUGCAGAAGGUGCUCCAGUGCUCCGUGUUUGUGGUCUGUCAUCAGACUCACUCCAGGAUGUUCAGUGUGGCCCAGACCCGGACCCAGCAUCUGCGUGUGCAUCACCAGUGCUGAGCAGAGAGAAAAGACUUCAUGGCUUGACUUACUGGGCUCUUCCUAAAGCAACCCAGGAUACCACUGGCCUUUUUUUCCCCUCAGGGCCACACAUCUGGCUCAUGGUCAGCUUGUUUCGAUUCAGCACGUUUUCUGACAAGCUGUUCUUCAGCUGUUCAGCCCCUGUGUGUAGCCCCACUGUGUGGCAGACUCGUGUAUGUCCAGUUUGUACACAGACCUAUCCA